GAUGAAGAACGUAGCGAAAUGCGAUAAGUAAUGUGAAUUGCAGAAUUCAGUGAAUCAUCGAAUCUUUGAACGCACAUUGCGCCCGCCAGUAUUCUGGCGGGCAUGCCUGUUCGAGCGUCAUUACAACCCUCAGGCCCCCGGGCCUGGCGUUGGGGAUCGGCGGAGCCCCCCGUGGGCACACGCCGUCCCCCUAAUACAGUGGCGGUCCCGCCGCAGCUUCCAUCGCGUAGUAGCUAACACCUCGCGACUGGAGAGCGGCGCGGCCACGCCGUAAAACACCCAACUCUUCUGAAGUUGACCUCGAAUCAGGUAGGAAUACCCGCUGAACUUAAGCAUAUCAAUAAGCGGAGGA
rnacentral:misc_RNA from 1 species